rnacentral:rRNA from 1 species
GAUGAACGCUGGCGGCGUGCUUAACACAUGCAAGUCGAACGGAAAGGCCGAAGCUUGCUUCGGUACUCGAGUGGCGAACGGGUGAGUAACACGUGGGUGAUCUGCCCUGUACUUCGGGAUAAGCCUGGGAAACUGGGUCUAAUACCGGAUAUGACAAUCUCUUGGAUGGGGUUGUGGAAAGCUUUUGCGGUAUGGGAUGAGCUCGCGGCCUAUCAGCUUGUUGGUGGGGUAAUGGCCUACCAAGGCGUCGACGGGUAGCCGGCCUGAGAGGGUGUACGGCCACAUUGGGACUGAGAUACGGCCCAGACUCCUACGGGAGGCAGCAGUGGGGAAUAUUGCACAAUGGGCGCAAGCCUGAUGCAGCGACGCCGCGUGGGGGAUGACGGCCUUCGGGUUGUAAACUCCUUUCGCAACCGACGAAGCUUUUGUGACGGUAGGUUGAGAAGAAGCACCGGCUAACUACGUG